rnacentral:rRNA from 1 species
AUACGUAGGUGACAAGCGUUAUCCGGAUUUACUGGGCGUAAAGGGCGUGUAGGCGGUCUUGCAAGUCAGAAGUGAAAUUCCUGAGCUCAACUCGGGCGCUGCUUCUGAAACUGCAGGACUUGAGUGCUGGAGGGGAUAGCGGAAUUCCUAGUGGAGCGGUAAAAUGCGCAGAUAUUAGGAAGAACACCGGUGGCGAAGGCGCUAACUGGGAAGGAAACGGACGCGGAGGGGCGAAGGCGGGGGGAGCAAACGGGUUUGGUUCCCCGGUAGUUCCACGCCGUAAACGAUGAAUACUAGGUGUAGGGGGUAUCGACCCCCUCGGUGCCGCAGUUAAAACAAUAAGUAUUCCGCCUGGGGAGAACGGCGGCAAGGUGGAACCUCAAAUGAAUUGCCGGG